rnacentral:tRNA from 1 species
GUUCCUAUAGUUAAAUUUUUUUAACGGCGAUUUUUCAGGUCGUAGAUCUCGGAGAGAGGCCGAGUAGGAAUU